rnacentral:misc_RNA from 1 species
UCACUCAAGCCCUUUUGUUGC